GAAACGACUGCUAAGACUGGAUAGGAGACAAGAAGGCAUCUUCUUGUUUUUAAAAGACCUAGCAAUAGGUAUGCUUAGGGAGGAGCUUGCGUCACAUUAGUUAGUUGGUGGGGUAAAGGCCUACCAAGACUAUGAUGUGUAGCCGAGCUGAGAGGUUGAACGGCCACAUUGGGACUGAGACACGGCCCAAACUCCUACGGGAGGCAGCAGUAGGGAAUUUUCGGCAAUGGAGGAAACUCUGACCGAGCAACGCCGCGUGAACGAUGAAGUAUUUCGGUACGUAAAGUUCUUUUAUUGGGGAAGAAUAAAUGAUGGAAAAAUCAUUCUGACGGUACCUAAUGAAUAAGCCCCGGCUAACUACGUGCCAGCAGCCGCGGUAAUACAUAGGGGGCAAGCGUUAUCCGGAAUUAUUGGGCGUAAAGGGUGCGUAGGCGGUUAAAUAAGUUUAUGGUCUAAGUGCAAUGCUCAACAUUGUGAUGCUAUAAAAACUGUUUAGCUAGAGUAAGAUAGAGGCAAGUGGAAUUCCAUGUGUAGUGGUAAAAUGCGUAAAUAUAUGGAGGAACACCAGUAGCGAAGGCGGCUUGCUGGGUCUUUACUGACGCUGAGGCACGAAAGCGUGGGGAGCAAACAGGAUUAGAUACCCUGGUAGUCCACGCCGUAAACGAUGAGUACUAAACGUUGGGUAAAACCAGUGUUGAAGUUAACACAUUAAGUACUCCGCCUGAGUAGUACGUACGCAAGUAUGAAACUUAAAGGAAUUGACGGGACUCCGCACAAGCGGUGGAUCAUGUUGUUUAAUUCGAAGGUACCCGAAAAACCUCACCAGGUCUUGACAUGCUUCUGCAAAGCUGUAGAAACACAGUGGAGGUUAUCAGUUGCACAGGUGGUGCAUGGUUGUCGUCAGCUCGUGUCGUGAGAUGUUGGGUUAAGUCCCGCAACGAGCGCAACCCUUAUUGUUAGUUACCAGCACGUAAUGGUGGGGACUUUAGCAAGACUGCCAGUGAUAAAUUGGAGGAAGGUGGGGACGACGUCAAAUCAUCAUGCCCCUUAUGACCUGGGCUACAAACGUGAUACAAUGGCUGUUGCAAAGGGUAGCUGAAGCGCAAGUUUUUGGCGAAUCUCAAAAAAACAGUCUCAGUUCGGAUUGAAGUCUGCAACUCGACUUCAUGAAGUUGGAAUCGCUAGUAAUCGCGAAUCAGCAUGUCGCGGUGAAUACGUUCUCGGGGUUUGUACACACCGCCCGUCA
rnacentral:rRNA from 1 species